AUGCCGCGUUUGUGGAACACACUGAUUAGCACCGCUGAGGGAGGCGGGCUGCUCCCUGCAGGAGAACGUGAUGGUGUCUCUGGCCAACGCGCGCCUUCUGCUUCCUGUGUUCCAGCUGGAGAGGAGGAAGUGGCAGCUGGAGAGGAGGAAGUGGCAGCUGAGGAGGCCGGCGAAGAGGAGGCUGCCGCUGAUGGCGAAGGAGAGACCGUAGCCGAGGUCGUGGCCGAGGUUGCAGAGGUCGUCGCUGAGGCGGCGGAGGAGGUCGCCGAGGCGGCAGAGGAAGUUACAGAGGUCGCUCGUGAAGUGGAGGCGGUCGCGGGAGAGGUGGCUAAGGCGGCCGAAGCCGCCCCCCAAGCCGCCGCAGAACCAGCCGCCGAGGGGCCCGACAGCAACGUGCCGCUGGCUGCUGCUUCUGCUCUAGAAGUACCAAAGAUCAUUGAAGUGACGGAAGAGUUAGCCGCAGCCAUUCAGGACAUCGAUGAGUCCCUUGCACAAGUUGAGGAGGCUACCAAGCCAGCAGAAGAGUCCCCAGCACCAGUAGAGCCUGCACCAGUUGAAGACACCCCAGCACCAGUAGAGGUUGCACCAGUUGAAGAGGCCCCAGCACCAGUGGAGGUUGUUGAUGAGUCCCCAGUAGAGGCUGCACCAGUUGAAGAGGCCCCAGCACCAGUGGAGGUUGUUGAUGAGUCCCCAGUAGAGGCUGCACCAGUUGAAGAGGCCCCAGCACCAGUAGAGGUUGUUGAAGAGUCCCCAGUAGAGGCUGCACCAGUUGAAGAGGCCCCAGCACCAGUAGAGGUUGUUGAAGAGGCCCCAGUAGAGGAGGCUGCACCAGUUGUUGAAGAGGCCCCAGCACCAGUAGAGGCUGCACCAGUUGUUGAGGAAGUCUUGGUACCAUCUGAACCUGAAGUUACCACAGCACUUGCUGAGGAACCAGUCACCACCGCAGUUGAUGAAGAGGCUCUGGCAACCAUCGCUGCAGAAGUAGCGACCCCUAUGGUGGUUGAAGAAGCGGCUACUGAGACCCUUGCAGAAGCUCCGAAGAGAGAGUACAUUGUUGUGGUCCUGGAAGGAACACCUAAAGCUGAUAAGUCACCCAAGGUGCUUGGAGUGGAGUCCAUGACUGGUAGAAUCAUCCCAACUCCAGACGACGACGUCUCUGCUUCUGAGUAA
ensembl:lncRNA